GUGCUUGCUUUGGCAGCACAUAUAUUACAAUUGGAAUGAUACAGAAAAAAUUAGUGUGAACUCUGAGCAAGGAUGACAUGCAAAUUCAUGAAGCAUUCCAUGUUUUU